rnacentral:tRNA from 1 species
GGGGCUUAGCUUAGUGGCCUAAAGCUCCGGUCUCAUAAACCGGCGAGCCUGGGUUCGAAUCCCAGAGCCC